CGGAGGGCGGGGUGGUGGGGGAAGGGAAGGAUGGAGCUGGAGCAUGCGCAGUGCGCACAGCGGCGAACCGGACUAAUCCCUGAGCACUAUUCCAGGAGAGGCGAGGGCUUGGGCCGCGCGCAGGCGCAGACCGGAUGGAAGCCGGGGCCACUGGCAGCCUGUAACUGGUUCCCCUGGGAAGGCCGCUCUGGUGAUGAACUCAGCUCCUCACCUGGGGCCUGGCAGUCCGAUCACGGAAACGAGAAUUGCGACCCCGUGGCUCAUCUGGGGUGCUGCGGCUCUGUAAUCGUGUGGGUUUCCGUCAUCUUUGGGGGCAGGAACGGGCAGCGAGUGGCCGCUUGGAUUAACCACCCCCACCUCUGGGCGCGGCUGGCACCUUGUAAUUAGGUCACUCGUAGGUGGAGGAGCGUGUACCUACCGGGGGAGUGCUGCGCAGUGCACCUGACUUCCGCGGCACACACCCGUCCCCGGACCUAGGUGUCUCGUCGGGCGCGAUGGCGGGGGCGAGGCUUGGGCUUUUCUUUGGGCCUCGGACCGCGGCUCGCUUCCACGCGCCCCGCUCCUCGCCGGUGGUUGCUUUCCUCCAAGUUUAAUUCUCUCUGGGAAUGAGAGACCCUCAACCCCUGCGCGCCCUGGCCUACUUUCAAGAGGGGAAGCCCAGAGAAGAUGGAUGCACCUGUCCUGACCGCGUCUCGGUGGCGUGAGAAGCAGCUGUGAUACGUGCUUAAAAGAGAGAGCUCGUAUACCCUAGGAUUGGACCUCUGUCUGGUUAUGAAUCGCUUUGGAGUUUGCGAAACGUUUUCACAUUCCAUUGUCCCUGCUUUUACAUAAAUAUCUGGUUCCAUAGAGCGCCAGCUAUAUGCCAGAUCCGGAGGGGUCAUCCAGACGGACCAGGGACCAUGCCCUGGAGCUUGUAUUCUCCCAACAGUACUGGCUGAAGAUGGUUUGGGAUAGGCAGAAGAGAGAUCAUAAUGCCCCCAGGAUUUGAAAGAUAUAGAAGCUUUCCAAAGAACAUUUAACCAUAAAGGGCAAGGCAAGAGCUGAACCUGAUCGCCUGUCUUCCAGGAACCCCACCCUCAGUAUCAGGCAACCCUUCCACACCCAAGUGCUCAGCGAUGCUUGGGAGGAGACUGCUCACUCUGCGGCUCUGAGGGCAUCAUCCCCACCAACAGGCUGAAGAAGGCACUGGAGGCCCCAUCAGCCAAUAGCAGGACUGAAAAUCCUCCUUUAUCCAAGACAACGUGUUUGGCAAGGCCGACUGGCUUGGCCUCCCUAGGCUGGAAAUUGCAAUUCUGCUUUCCCUUCACACCUCCCAUUAGUGUGCACAAAAGAAAGUACCUUAAAUCUACUCUUCUAGAAGUCUUAUCACAUACUUAAUUUACCAGACUGGGAAAAAGACCCUUUAGCCCAAAUUCUGUCCCUGUUUUGCAGUUAACAUCCCCAAACAAUAGAAGGGUAAGAGUUAAGACCAAGUGGAAUGAAUAAGGAAAAAAUCAUCACUUAGUGCCCGUGAUUAUAAAGCCAUACCCAGUGUGCUGUCUAAUCUUAUUCUUUACCGUUGCCAUGAACCUGUGUGAGAACUGUCUGAUGGGGCAAGAAGCAGACAGGCACUCAGAAAAGAGAAGGGACUUGCCUAAGAUAGUGGUCAGGAUUUAAAACUGCACACUCCCAAGUACAAAGUCUCAGCCACAGUCAUGCAGUUGACCUUCCAAGGUCUGACAUAUGGAACAGAAUCAACAUUAUUUCUCUUUGCCUAGAUUCUCUCUCUUUUUUUUUUUUUUUUUUUUUUUUUUUUGAGCCAGAGUCUCACUCUGUUGCACAGGCUGGAGUGCAGUGGUGCAAUCUCGGUUCACUGCAAACUCUGCCUCCCAGGUUCAAGCAAAUCUCCUGCCUCAGCCUCCCAAGUAGCUGGGAUUACAGGCACCCGCCACCAUGCCCGGGUAAUUUUUAUAUUUUUAGUAGAGACGGAUUUCGCCACGUUGGCCAGGCUGGUCUCAAACUCCUGACCUCAGGUGAUCCGCCUGCUUCAGCCUCCCAAAGUGCUGGGAUUACAGGUGUGAGCCACCGCACCCAGCCUGCCUAGAUUCUCUUACCUGGAAAGGGUGUGGUGAUGUUAGUUUGAUAGAUGAUGAAGUAUUGAACACCCACUGUGUGCUAAAAUUAUGAGUUUUUCCAAAGUACUGUGAGCCCCUUGUUGGUAGCAUUAAUGUAGGUGUUAUUUAUUUUCUCUUGAUGCAGAUUACUUGGCUCACCACCAUCACAAAAUGGAGGGAAGAUAUAAUAAUUAUAUGUACUUAAAACAUCCUGCCAAAUAAUUAAAUGCCAUGACUUAACUUCUUAAGGAAUGAAUUCUAGGAAGCUCUUAGCAUCAGACAGUGAAGUAAAGCAUACAUGAUCAUAAACAAUACAGAAGUAAAUUAAUCAGGAUAUAUUUUUCUUUAGAAGAAAUUCAGAUUGUGUAUUCUGUAGAACAAAAUAUCUAAUGGACAUGAAAAUGAAAAUUCAUUUUGACUUAUCUGGUCUUGACUAAUUUGACCUCACUGACUCAAUUCUAGAGCUGAAGAAUAUUUGGAACAAAAAAUUUAAAGCAAACCAAAAAGAAUUGUCUUUUUAAUUUAUUGGGAAACACCAGAGAGUAAAUAAAGCAAAUAUGCUUUGAGAAAGAAUCUUUGCUCUGAUGGCAAAUUCAAUAUACAGCAAGUCUGAGUGUUGCCCAUGAUGUUUAAACAUAGCUAUAAAUAAAAAUCAUCUGAUGAUGGGGGCGGGGUAGGAGGAGGAUAACCUUGAGCAAAUAGCUUUAUAAUAGGCACCCUACCCAAGAUACAAAAAUUGACAUUAAACAUGGAGUAGGAAUGAGAUAUAUCUUGUCAGCAAUUCUCUUGGCAUUAAGUUAGGUUUAUUUUUUUGUUGUUGUUCCUUCCAGUUCCCUGACUUCUAAACUUACUGAGACAGAAAGUAGACCAGUGUCAGAAACGACUCUGGAGUCAGAUGGAACUGGGUUUGAAUUCUGGUUCUGCAACCGCCUAGAUGUGUGAACUUUGGCAAGUUACCUAACUUUUCUGAGUCUUGGUUUUCUCAUCUAUAAAGUGGGAAUAAUUAUAAUAGAAAAAUAAUAAGGUUAUUCUGAGAAUUAAAUGAAAUUAUAAAUAAAUAAAACCAGG
rnacentral:lncRNA from 10 species